GAGAGCUCACACACAGCAACUGGUCCUGAUCUAAUCACACACAUUCUUACAGUGUUCUUUGGCUCCAGCUUGUUCAACUGCACCAAUAUUUUCAGUUUUCUUUCCUACCUCCUUGGACAAGAUGCAGAACAGGAAUCACCCAAGUUUGGGUCAUCAGGCAGUUUGCAGUUUAUGUGUCUUCUCCCCAGUCUGUGGCAAAAGAGGGGAAUUAAAGAAUGGGCAAAGUGGCUUAGGCUCCAAUUCUGCUUUGCAGAUGAGAAGGAGCUUCCCUGCAAUAGCUGCAAACAUACUGGGAAUGCUGGGGAGUGGCUCAGAAAGCUCAGCAGGUACUGAAAUCUGCCUCAUGCUCAAAUAUCCCAGGAGUUCACUGGAGCUGAGCACCACACUCCCACUCUGAAGUGCUGGGGAUACCCUGCUGCUGAGAAUUUCAGGUACCUGGUGAAGCUGCCCAGGCUGCAGCUUGGAUGGAGUGGGGACAGCAGGAGACAGGGAGACCUGACCAGCUCCCCUGCAGCCCUGGUGUCACCCAUAAAGCAAAUCCAACCUAGACCCACAUCAGAGGUCAAACCCUGUCAGCUCCUCUCAGCAGUAGCUGCUCCCUGAACAGCAGCAGAGCUCAGAAAGCUCUGUUUGCAGCACUCUGGAUGUGAGCCAGCACAAACCUCUCCAGGCAGACCUGGCAGGCAAGCAGGAUGUCUCAAGCCCAUGAUAAGGCUAAUUUUCAAGCUGGCACCCGAACACCCAAAAGUCCUCAAGAAAUCAACAUUAGAGCCAGAAAUGAUCCAAGUCACUGCCAGGAGCUGAGACCAGCACUUCUAAUUGCUGUGAGCUCCCUUUUCCCACCAGUGAAUCACCAUCUCCAGGAGUGGAAGCAGAGCUCCUGCACCAGCUCUGCCUCUGAAGGGUGUCAGUUCCAUUUCAUCCCAUCACUAUCCAUCUGCAGCUGUAUUCCCCAAGUCACCCUUUGGGAGCUUGAUGACCUUAUAAAGCAUGACUGGGUUUUGUUUCAAGAAACAAAACCAGCUGCCUGCAGGGUACUUUGAUUCUAAACAGUAUUUUUAAGUACUGGGGCUGGGUGAAGCAAUGAAAUAAUUUGCUGGUGGGUCAAAUCUCUUUUUGCAGGGUCCUACUCUGUCAAACAGCACACCUGAUUUUCUUGCUCAGUGUCAAAUAUUUGCUUUCUGUGUGACUAGAAAGGCUAUUUCCCAGCAAGCCCAAAUAUCUGUCUUUGCAGUGGUGCAUCCUUUCACUGCUGCCUAUUCUCCCUCACAGGUGUACACACACUGAAUUGUGCAGAGGAGCCAGACACAAAGCCAAGGUGAAAAAGCAGUAAUCAGAGUUGCACACAAAGCAAAAAAAAUCCCCCAAAUGCCAUUAACUUCCAG
rnacentral:lncRNA from 1 species